GAACGCUACCAAGUCGUGAGUCGUGACUUGAAGUUGUAAUUUACGGGCUAACAAUUGUGUCUGGAACGCAGCAUUAGCUGCAGUAGAUGGCUGUCGGCCCGCCCCCAGUUUGUAAAAGGGUUAGGGUUAGUACCGAGUAGAGUAGAGUACCGACACAGAAGCUUUAGCAGCUGCUAAACGCAUUUUAGAAAACUAAAUAAAUGUAUAUAAAAAAAGAAAAAAGAAGAGCACAAAACGACAGUGGGUGAUAUUAAAGAACAACUUGUUGAUUGCUAAGGCCAUAUGGUCAAAAUGAAAUGAUUUAUUAAUAAUGUAAUAACAAUAACAUAUAACAACAACUUAUUUCACCAGUAAAUAGCUGUUAAACGACAAAAACAACUAGAUGGGAAAACGUUAACGCUAACGUUACCUGCUACCAAGUCUAUUAUGUCAACUAGCGCCACGUGCAGCGAUGCUUCUGUUGCCUGUAACGUCCGUAACGUUUCAGAGCAUCAGAGAGCAGCGCAGGCAUUUCAGAGGCACCGAAAUGAGGCCCCGAAAUCCGCGUUGCUAUUCAGUCCGGUAGAUACCGGUCGUUUAGGCACUGGUGUCGUAUUAGCACCGGGCCUCGGUACCCAACCCUAGUCAGACGGCCCUUUACGACGGGGAACUGAAGCCGUUAUCUCUGCUCUCUUCAAAAUCACCAGACUCCAGUCAUUUUCGCAGAACACACUUCGGUUAUUGUGUGCAGGGUGUCGGACUAGGCGACCGAGUACCCAGAAGAUGCUAGACUGAAUAGCUGUGGAUGUGGGGAGGGGGCAGAAUGCCUUUGUACAGGGCCCCGAAUUUUGUGCUACGCCCCUGAUUGUGUGACUUUGUUGAGUCCAAACUAACCAACUGAAAACACCAAAGUCCCACAAUUACACAAACACACUGACUGAUGGAGUGGUAUCAGAGCCAUAAUGUAUCUGUCUUUAUACGUUUAUCUUUAUAAGUCAUUUUGAUGAUUUGAAACAACUCUGAAAAAUGAAAAAAUGAAUAAAACUGUACAAAAA